rnacentral:rRNA from 1 species
UACGUAGGGUGCGAGCGUUGUCCGGAAUUACUGGGCGUAAAGAGCUCGUAGGUGGUUUGUCGCGUUGUUCGUGAAAACUCACAGCUCAACUGUGGGCGUGCGGGCGAUACGGGCAGACUGGAGUACUGCAGGGGAGACUGGAAUUCCUGGUGUAGCGGUGGAAUGCGCAGAUAUCAGGAGGAACACCAGUGGCGAAGGCGAGUCCCUGGACGAUACCUGACACUGAGGCACGAAAGCCAAGGGAGCAAACAGG